rnacentral:rRNA from 1 species
GAGUUUGAUCCUGGCUCAGAUUGAACGCUGGCGGCAUGCCUUACACAUGCAAGUCGAACGGCAGCAUGAUCUAGCUUGCUAGAUUGAUGGCGAGUGGCGAACGGGUGAGUAAUACAUCGGAACGUGCCCUGUAGUGGGGGAUAACUAGUCGAAAGAUUAGCUAAUACCGCAUACGACCUGAGGGUGAAAGUGGGGGACCGCAAGGCCUCAUGCUAUAGGAGCGGCCGAUGUCUGAUUAGCUAGUUGGUGGGGUAAAGGCCCACCAAGGCGACGAUCAGUAGCUGGUCUGAGAGGACGAUCAGCCACACUGGGACUGAGACACGGCCCAGACUCCUACGGGAGGCAGCAGUGGGGAAUUUUGGACAAUGGGCGAAAGCCUGAUCCAGCAAUGCCGCGUGUGUGAAGAAGGCCUCGGUUGUAAGU